CCUAUCUCAAAAAUUUAUUUUAGUAGAUUCAGUUCUAUAAGGUAUAUUUUCUUGUGUUUUCUUGACUAUUGUAAGUGUUUUUCUCUGUAUUCUGAAUAGGUCCAGUACUGGCCAGAGCCUCCAGUCAUAAAAUGUAAAUGUCCCUCAUGGUGGAAAUCAGUCCAGCAGCUUUGGCAAAUGGUAGAUAAAUUAAAAUGCAAAGUCAUUACGGGUACUG
rnacentral:lncRNA from 1 species